CAGCCGCCGCGGUAAGACAGAGGUCCCGAGCGUUGUUCGGAUUCAUUGGGCGUAAAGGGUGUGUAGGAGGCCAGGUAAGUCAGGUGUGAAAUCUCAGAGCUUAACUCUGAAACUGCGCUUGAUACUGCUUGGCUAGAGGAUCGGAGGGGGUAACGGAAUUUAUGGUGUAGCAGUGAAAUGCGUAGAUAUCAUAAGGAACACCGGUGGCGAAGGCGGUUACCUGGAAGAUUCCUGACUCUGAAACACGAAAGCCAGGGGAGCAAACGGGAUUAGAUACCCCAGUAGUCCCUGUCUCUUAUAC
rnacentral:rRNA from 1 species